rnacentral:tRNA from 1 species
GCCCACGUAGCUCAGUUGGUAGAGCAUGUCCUUGGUAAGGACAAGGUCAGCAGUCCGAUUCUGCUCGUGGGCUCCA